rnacentral:rRNA from 1 species
AUACGGAGGGUGCAAGCGUUAAUCGGAAUUACUGGGCGUAAAGCGCGCGUAGGCGGCUUUGUAAGUCGGAUGUGAAAGCCCAGGGCUCAACCCUGGAAUUGCAUUCGAUACUGCAUGGCUAGAGUAUGGUAGAGGGAAGUGGAAUUUCCGGUGUAGCGGUGAAAUGCGUAGAUAUCGGAAGGAACACCAGUGGCGAAGGCGACUUCCUGGGCCAAUACUGACGCUGAGGUGCGAAAGCGUGGGGAGCAAACAGGAUUAGAAACCCCGGUAGUCC